rnacentral:rRNA from 1 species
GAUGAACGCUGGCGGCGUGCCUAAUACAUGCAAGUCGAGCGAACAGACGAGGAGCUUGCUCCUCUGACGUUAGCGGCGGACGGGUGAGUAACACGUGGAUAACCUACCUAUAAGACUGGGAUAACUUCGGGAAACCGGAGCUAAUACCGGAUAAUAUAUUGAACCGCAUGGUUCAAUAGUGAAAGACGGUUUUGCUGUCACUUAUAGAUGGAUCCGCGCCGCAUUAGCUAGUUGGUAAGGUAACGGCUUACCAAGGCGACGAUGCGUAGCCGACCUGGGAGGGUGAUCGGCCACACUGGAACUGAGACACGGUCCAGACUCCUACGGGAGGCAGCAGUAGGGAAUCUUCCGCAAUGGGCGAAAGCCUGACGGAGCAACGCCGCGUGAGUGAUGAAGGUCUUCGGAUCGUAAAACUCUGUUAUUAGGGAAGAGCAAAUGUGUAAGUAACUAUGCACGUCUUGACGGUACCUAAUCAGAAAGCCACGGCUAACUACGUG